rnacentral:lncRNA from 1 species
AGAAGCGGCUUAGUCAUGCUGGCCACAUGACCCGGAAGCUGUCUGUGGACAAACAUCAGCUCCCUCGGCCAGUAAAGUGAGAUGAGCGCCGCAACCCCAGUCGUCCGCGACUGGACCUAAUGGUCAGGGGUCCCUUUACCUUUACAUAGGGUGGAGGAUCCUGUCCCAAACUUAAUUCCUGUGAAAGCCAGUGUUCCCUGGACCACAACUUAUGGUUGUCUAACAGGCUGAAUUCCUGCCAGGUGAUCCUCAGCUUCAAUGCCCAGCUCUGGCUUGGAGGCAGGGCCGGAUUUAGAUUUGAUGAGGCCCUAAACUACUGAAGGUAAUGGGGCCUUUUAUAUGUCCAGCUGUCCUUUGUCAACAACAAAUUGUCAGCCCGCCCGCUGUCAGAUUGCGGCUCCGGAAAUAUAUUUGUUUUAAAUGUCGCAAUGGUUUUGCGGCUCCCAGUUGUUUUUUCCUCGGAAACGGGUCCAAGUGGCUCUUUUUGUCUUAAAGGUUGCAGACCCCUGCCCUAUACUAAUGAGCAAACCAGUGAUAUUUUAGGGAGCAGGCUAGCAGGCGGGGGCCGUUACUUACAUCAUAGGCGCCUACACAACACAAAACACUGUUGCUGUAUGUAGGUUUUAUUUUAUUUGUUUUUUAUCUUAUAUUUUGGAAAUGUACAUCCAGGGUUUUUUCCCCUUUAAUUUUUUGGGGGGAGCCCCCAAGAGAGUGGGGCCCUAAGCUAUAGCCUGUUUAGCUUAUACGUAAAUCCAGCAUUGCCUCAGGCCCUGUCUGCUGCUGGCCUGGCAGGUCCCUCAGGAGGUUGUCUAUGAAGGAACGUUGUCCUUGGGCUUAAAAAUAUUCCCCCACCCCCCUUUAUGUAUCUAUUUGAUUUAUAAAAGUAUUUAUAUACUACCCUCCCAUUGUUAUGUAUUGAAGUGCUCACCCUGGCCACCAGGAGUAUUGUGUACAGAUACCUCAGGUUAAGUAUCAGGUUGAGCAUUUUCAGGUUACACUCCACGGCGACCCGCAGGUAACGGAACGCGUUACGCCACUCGCGCAUGCGCAGACGGUCAAAAUGUAGUCAUGCGCUUGUACAGAAACGGCGAAUCACGACCCGUGCAUGCGCAGGCGUGGGUUGCGUUCGCUUCAGGAUACAAAUGGGGCUCCGGAGCAGAUCCCGUUCGCAUCCAGAGGUACCACUGUAUAUAGUUUUCACUCAGGUCCGCGUCAGUUAAUUUAGGCGGGAAACCCUGGGGUGGUCUUGUUACAAUGUUGACAGCCGGCUGACUAUAAAAGCAGGCCGGCUGAGCUGUUCAGUUCAGUUCAGUUCCAGCUUACUAUAAAGAACCACUUGGAGAAAUCUCUGUGUCGUCUGCCUUGUCAACCCACUACUUAUACCCAUGAAAUAUCAGGUCAGUGUACAGCAAUAUAAACACAUUUAAAAAGUAGUACCCCCCCCCAAAAAAACAUUUAGCUUAUACGUAAAUCUGCCAUUUCUUGGAGGCCAACAAGUGGCACAACUUCCCUCACCGUGAAACAACCACGAUGUCUACCAUGGGUGGAAUAUCCAAGGAGAAUAAGGAUAUCCAUUUGCACACAUCGUGAAGCUGUAAUAAAAAUGCAGAGGCCUAAUGUAAAUUGGACUGCUAGGCUCUGAUGGUGGAAAGACCCACUGCAAAUUUUGUUAACUGUGAACUCAGCAUGCCAAAAAUAUGUUUAUUGUUCCUUUGUCUUAACUGUGCAUGCAGAGUUGGUGUGGACGUUUGUGCUAAAUUAAUGGGCAUCUUUUUAAAAAAUGGAGGAAGGAUACAACUGAUAAGGAAAGUUGAACUAGACCCGCUUCUGUCUCUCUGUAUUUCUUAGCCGGGAAGCAGUAGGCAUAGCUUUAUAUAUUAAAAAGUGACAAUAUACUGC